UUCAAGUAAUCCAGGAUAGGCUGUGUGUAUUCUGUUGGCCUAUUCAUGAUUACUUGCACU
rnacentral:pre_miRNA from 1 species